rnacentral:rRNA from 1 species
GGACUACUGGGGUAUCUAAUCCUGUUUGCUCCCCACGCUUUCGCGCCUCAGCGUCAGUUACGGUCCAGAGAGCCGCCUUCGCCACCGGUGUUCUUCCCAAUAUCUACGAAUUUCACCUCUACACUGGGAAUUCCACUCUCCUCUCCCGUACUCCAGCCUCAGAGUAUCAAAUGCCAUUCCCAGGUUGAGCCCGGGGCUUUCACAUCUGACUUCUAAGGCCGCCUGCGCGCCCUUUACGCCCAGUAAUUCCGAACAACGCUCGCCCCCUUCGUAUUACCGCGGCUGCUGGCAC